rnacentral:rRNA from 1 species
AGUAGGGAAUUUUCGGCAAUGGGCGAAAGCCUGACCGAGCAACGCCGCGUGAGUGAUGAAGGUUUUCGGAUUGUAAAGCUCUGUUGUAAGGGAAGAACGUCCGUGUGAAAAACAUGGAGUGACGGUACCUUACCAGAAAGCCACGGCUAACUACGUGCCAGCAGCCGCGGUAAUACGUAGGUGGCGAGCGUUAUCCGGAAUUAUUGGGCGUAAAGGGUGCGUAGGCGGCCUUUUAAGUUCAUGGUGAAAGCGUGGGGCUUAACCCCAUAUAGCCAUGGAUACUGGAAGGCUAGAGUACUGGAGAGGAAAGUGGAAUUCCAUGUGUAGCGGUAAAAUGCGUAGAUAUAUGGAGGAACACCAGUGGCGAAGGCGACUUUCUAGCCAGAAACUGACGCUGAUGCACGAAAGCGUGGGGAGCAAAUAGGAUUAGAUACCCUAGUAGUCCACGCUGUAAACGAUGAAUACUAAGUGUUGGGGGAACUCAGUGCUGCAGUUAACGCAAUAAGUAUUCCGCCUGUGGAGUAUGCACGCAAGUGUGAAACAUAAAGGAAUUGACGGGGGCCCGCACAAGCGGUGGAGUAUGUGGUUUAAUUCGACGCAACGCGAAGAACCUUACCAGGCCUUGACAUCCCUUGCAAAACUGUAGAGAUACAGCAGAGGUUAUCAAGGUGACAGGUGGUGCAUGGUUGUCGUCAGCUCGUGUCGUGAGAUGUUGGGUUAAGUCCCGCAACGAGCGCAACCCUUGUCUUCAGUUACCAGCAUUCAGUUGGGGACUCUGGAGAGACUGCCGGUGAUAAACCGGAGGAAGGUGGGGAUGACGUCAAAUCAUCAUGCCCCUUAUGGCCUGGGCUACACACGUACUACAAUGGCUGCUACAACGAGACGCAACAACGCGAGUUGAAGCAAAUCUCUGAAAGGCAGUCUCAGUUCGGAUUGAAGUCUGCAACCCGACUUCAUGAAGCUGGAAUCGCUAGUAAUCGCGGAUCAGCAUGCCGCGGUGAAUACGUUCUCGGGCCUUGUACACACCGCCCGUCAUACCAUGAGAGUCGGAAAUGCCCGAAGCCGGUGGCCUAACCGCAAGGAAGGAGCCGUCGAAGGCAGGUCUGAUGAUUGGGGUC